AUUGAACGCUGGCGGCAGGCCUAACACAUGCAAGUCGAGCGAGCGGCGGACGGGUGAGUAAUGUCUGGGAAACUGCCUGAUGGAGGGGGAUAACUACUGGACACGGUAGCUAAUACCGCAUACCAUCAGAUGUGCCCAGAUGGGAUUAGCUAGUAGGGGGGGUAACGGCUCACCUAGGCGACGAUUCCUAGCUGGUCUGAGAGGAUGACCAGCCACACUGGAACGGAUACACGGUCGAGACUCCGACGGGAGGCAGCAGUGGGGAAUAGUGCAUAAGGGGCGAAAGCCUGAUGCAGCCAUGCCGCGUGUGUGAAGAAGGCCUUCGGGUUGUAAAGCACUUUCAGCGGGGAGGCGUUACCCGCAGAAGAAGCACCGGCUAACUCCGUGCCAGCAGCCGCGGUAAUUC
rnacentral:rRNA from 1 species